GCCAAGACCAGUCCAGAUUCAAAGGGAAAGUAAUCAGAGCCCACUUCUAAAUGGGAGCAGGCACAGUGCUACAUGCCUCAUCACAGUCAACCCUUAUAAUCUCUUUGUUAGUUGGCUGGCCACAACAGGAGGGUUAAGGCAGAGAUUCUUCAGCCAGAAUUUAAAAAUCAGCAUCUGAAGGCCAAGGGUGGACAUGUGUACAAGUGCCAGUGGAAAAUGGCUUUUCUGGAAUAUCAGGUUUGGUCCUAAGAGACUAAGGGCACUCCACGUGGUGAGCAAUAAAUCUGGAUUCUGCUGUGUUUAAUUAAGCGUGUCACCAGCAUGGAAUGCGACCAUGGAUUGGCCUGUGACGAGCCUCCUUCUCCUAGAGAGAGAAGUUCUAGCCUCGUCUUCUGCUCCUGUGGAGUUUUCCAUUGCUUGGAAAUGGUUUGUAAGGUGAUGGAGUCCCAUGGAUGCCAGCUGGCAAAGGAAGAUCAGAGAAGGAGGAGAAGUUGAGUCAGUGGAGGGGAAAGAUUGCUGGAUGAUAUUUUCUUCACAGCUGUAGUGUCAAUAAAUAAAGACUUUGAUCACCCAUAAAGACCAAGGUUCCACGCUCCUGCCCUCUUUCUGCAAGUUAAUUGAUAAAUGUUAAGAGAAUGAUGUAGUGUCUUCUUACUAAUCCCUGAAAAGACUCUCUGAACACAGCAAUAUCAUCAUCAAGUGAACUUCACAAAUCCUAGGACAAAAGAGAGCUGAUAGCCAUGUCACACGUGCCUGAAUUUCCUGCACAGGUUUCUUGUUAUGUGGCAGCCCAAUCUAUGCCUGACCAUGUCCAGAGAACGGAAAUGCACCCUCUCAAAGGGAAGCCCAUUCCACCUCUGGAGAAUUCAAGUUAUUGAAAGGGUCUUGCUUAUAUUAUUG
rnacentral:lncRNA from 1 species